rnacentral:rRNA from 1 species
GAGGUUCGCCCACGCUUGCUCGCAUAGGUGCGCGCAGCGCGCAGAAGGAGACGGGGGUUUGGGAUGUCGGGUGGGGUGGGGUUAGGGAGGUCGGCGGCGAUGGGGUGGGUACAAAGAGGAGGUGGGGAGAGGAGGGAGGAGCAGGCGCGCGCGUGUAGUGUGUCGAGAGCGCACGAGCGGAGGGCCUGGUCGAUGGCGGCGCGGCGACCCCGAGCAGGCGGCGCCCAAAGGUGCCCCUUCCUCGUCGCUGCCCUCAUCCGGGGUCCGCCGCGUGUGAAGUACCCUUCCGUUCCUUGAUCCCCCACUACCCCAGCCUAGAUCACCACGAUCCAGCCUCGAGUUAGGGAGCGGAGGGCUUGGUCGGCAGCUGCGUGGCGACCCCGAACCCAAAGGUACCCCUUAGUGAUGUUGUUGUCGUGAGGAGGGAGGAAGUAGGAGUAGUAGUCUCGGCGGCGUGGAGAGGAAGGAGGAGCGAGCGUGGGGACGGCGCCGCGCGUAGGGAGGGGAAAGCUAGAUUAAAGUAAGAACAAAGUGUACAACCAAACCAACCGUUCUAUGCAACGCCGUGGCUGACGUCAUCGGUACCAACCACAACCACUACAGACAUCCAUAAAAGUAGGAGCGGUCAGUGUGUAAAGGAUCCAAUACCCUAACCUAGAGGGAAAAGAUUCUGAGAUGUCUUACUACAACACGUGUAGGUUUAGGUUCGUUAGACCUAUGAGGUACCCCGUUUCAACUUCGAAACAUAGUGAAGAGAGGUACAAAUAAUUACAAAGAAGUACAAACCGUCACUAUACCCAAAGGUACAUGAACUAUAUACGUAAGGAAUAGAAAUACACAAGGUAGAUACAUAUAUACAAAGACGGGUAUUUACACAAAUACUCGACUGAGGUCAAAAAUGGCGAAAAGAUACCGUUAAACCUUUCCUGGGAAGGUACCACGAGUCGGUGUCAGGCUAAAGCUCCCUCUUAUCCUCUGGGGCUGCUUUUGCUCGCAGGAUCGCCGCUUGGGUUCCUACGAUCACUAAUACCGUCCAGGUACGAGGUCAAGAAGAUAACCCGAUGAGGGGGUUACCACUUUUAGGGGAUGUCUUACCACGACCUACAGGAAAAUCUUAGAAACCCGGACGGUCACCGACUAAUAGCUUGGUUUCGUACGCUCCCACCAAACUUCAAUGCUUCUUGGGGUAAAAGUAAGUCUAUACGUGCGGAAAAACAGUACGUUUCAGAAACGUAAAUCCAAAUAUAAUAACUAAACCCAAAUCAACAAAUCUAGUUUUGACAUUAGAACGUACAUCUAACCUGUCUAAUUAAGAGUGAAACUCCUGAGGCGAAACAAGUAGUCUUACAAAAAAGUUCACGUAGUUCUUGAAACGAUACUACAAAAAGUUCACGGAAAGGUACAGAAGAAUAAAACGAUUAAGUCUCAGCUCAUCUCUAUAAUAUGAGGUGGUAAAGAAGACAACAUUUAUUAAUAGGGAGGAUGAAGUAACAGAAUCAAAAACAUAUCUAUUGUGAGUGGUUAAGAAAACAAGACAGUCCACAAGCGAGUUAAGUACACGAACCCUAAACAAAACUAACUACCUGGAGUUUGGACCACGUUAUUACGUACUUGAACGGUUUUCCUGUGAGACAAAUAGUCCCAGCAAAGUCAAAAGUUCACAGUAGUCACCAUGUACCUACCUACCACAGCAGUAACGAGGCGACGGGGUACAAAACCAACAAAACCAGGUGCCGGCUCCGUUCUUUUGGUUUUAGACGUGGUACGGCUAUACGAAGUACUGUUUUGGUGAACGAAAGUAUACAUAACCUGAUGACGUAGUAGCAGAAGCAGUUACCUCCUGCUUUAGUCAUCAUAGUGGUCAGCCGGUCGCUCCUUCCGACGAACCUAGACGGCGGCACGGGUGGACGUUGAAGGAUCCCGAUAAGCCGGUGAAUCUCUUGAAGACCACAGGUAUUCGUUAGAAUCAACGAGUGAUACUAUUAAUCUUACAUACGUCAAAGGGAGAAACGCACACACGAAGACACAGAAAGGACGAUAUAAGAGUCAGAUACCUUAUCAGUAUAAUCCGUACAUCAAAUAAAAUUAAAGACAUAUUUUCGAACCAUGGUUGUAUGUUUAUACUAAUAAAAAAGUGAAAGAGUCACACCAUUGAUAUAAAAGUUGAUUUUUUUACGAAGGAAUUGACCAGUGUAUAAUAUGUUUAUUCAAACAAAAGUUUGAGUCUAAGGAAUCGCACUAUUUGUAUAAUAAAAAUUAUAUCGUACUAAAUUGUGUGUACGAAAUAUGAUGGUUAUAGUUAUACAGGAACGUUUUGCUUUGAUAAAAGUAGCUGUUGUACCGAAGUUGCCCAGAAACGCGGUAAACUUUUACCGCGUUGCCCAAUUGAUCAUGAAACUUUUAAUUAUAUUUUAUUUAGCAUUAAGCCUACUUUUAUGAAACAUGUACUUUCAACGAGUCUUGCUGCUCUGUUUAGACUUAUGCGUCGGGCAGGCAGUCGGUGUGCAGGGAUCGUAUCGCUUGGACGUUGUAAAAUGGAGGCCAAGUAGACAGGCUUUUGCGCUUUGUGGCCCCUAUGAAAGGGCCUACAAAGGGGGGAAGUGGCCAUAGUGGAGGAUGGCGCAAUCCCGUGUGGAUCGUGGCGAGUAACAGUACAGUACGUAGUAGUACGAAUACAAACGUAAUAUGAAUAACAAAGAAGGGAAAAGAAGAGAGGCCAUUUGAUGCUCUGGCUGUGGCGACAACGGGGCCAGCUGAUGCCUCAACUGCUGGGGAGGAAGAACGGUCUCGUUGGUCUGCAACCUCGGGUCCUCGGUCUGCGGUGGCAGCUACUACUGGGGAUGAUGUGGCUCCCACGGAUGAUGAUGCAAGUCCGGCGGCUACUGGUCUGCAUCAAAUCCUCCUAGGGUC